CUGGUUCAGUGGCAGUCCAGAGUUCCCCAUCAGCCCACCAGAGGCAGAGAAGAACAAACUGAGUGCUAGUGCUACAGCCACUUCGACUGUUCACUCUCAUCCACAGGAUCUCUUCACUUGUGUGUGUCAGUCAGGGUGUGCCUUUGCCUGAUAUUCACUGGCCUCUGCUACAAAACAAUCAUCAUAUUACCACAGUUAGAGCAUCAGAUUGUCACAUCACUGUAAACAGCACCUUCACUAUGACUGAUGUGGACUUUAACAGCAUCAGCACUGUGAUGACUGUGAAAUGACCCUUCCAGUGAACAUAAUUGAAAGAGAAGAGCUAAAUCUCAGAGACUAACAGAGGUGCCCUACAGCUCAAUGGAAUAAUUAUAACUGCAACAACAUAAACUGCAAUAAAACAUAAAGCAAACACUGGACUGUUUUCCCUGUGUUUACAGUGCUAUCGCAUAGAGAUCAUGAUCUUUCAGCAAAAUGACUGAACUCCUGCGAUUUCACAUGAAGCCCUUUUAUAUGCAUGUUUUAAUGACUUUUCAAUUGAAAUGCAUUUACAUUUUUACUACAUUUAACAAUGAC